UUUUGAAAGGCAUACCCGGAAGUUUGUGGAUUUCUUAACUUUAUUUACAUCUGGGUGAGGUGAAAAACUACUAACAAUGCGUUUCUGAAAGUACUCGACUUGACAAUUCUAGUUUAAUUCCUGGAAGACGGAAGUUUUCACGAUGGUGUCAAAAGCGUGUCAGACGCGAAUUAAAUGUUAUGUUGUUAGCUAUCCUGAAAAGUGGCGGGACUCUACCGUAGUUCAGGAUAAAGUUGGUUGUUUUUCCUCCGCGGGGUCGUUGCUAUCAAUACACAGCUGGAGAAUGACAGUUGUCGAGCAAUUAUCAGACUUUCAACGAGCCGUCUUCGCAUCUUCAAGCAACUUUGUUAAGUUCCCUUUGAGAGGAAGACGCGCGAGGAACAGAAAUGAGUGGUUUCCGUCACGUCUCUCAGUACGAGAGCUCAGCACCUCCAUCAGAACCCUCCAGUAUGACAUGAAACCGGACGUACCGAAGGCUCAAGGCCGGAAGCUGUUCUUUGAUACCCGCGCUGUUGUGCGGCUCUUUGAAGAGAACGGGUUCUCCACUCAACAAGCUGAAGUGAUGGUGAAUGUCCUCAUGAGGACAACGAACUCCAACAUGGAGGUUGUUUACAGUGACAUGGUAACCAAGGUGCAACAGGAGAUCAUGCUACAGCGAGUGAUGUCUCAGAUUGCUGCAGUGAAGAAGGACAUGAUCAUCCUGGAGAAGAGUGAGUUCUCUGCCCUGCUGGCCGAGAAUGAGAAACUAAAGGUCCAGUUAUUACAACUCAAUGAGCAACUUGCUGAUGUGAUGAAAAAGGUGCGCUCUGACAAUAAAUUGGACUUGAAUUUGGAGAAAAGCCGCGUCAAAGAACUAAAAGUAGAGCACGACAAGCGGCUUUUAGAGACCCGAACUGAGAUCAUGGAAAUGCGCACGGUGUCCGAUCAGGCUUUUGUGGUGUCUUUUCACAGACGGCAGAUCAGGACGGCCAUUUGACUCAGACAAACAUCAAAAUUGACACUGAAGUUGCUGGCUUGAAAACCAUGCUGGAAUCUCACAAACUGGAUACAAUAAAGUAUCUUGCAGGUUCUGUAUUCACGGGUCUCACUGUGGUCUUGGGUUUUUACAGAAUUUGGAUGUAAAAGUGUCCUGUUUAAACUUUCUUAUGACUUUUUCUUUUCUGACGAUCAAGUUAAAAGUAUUCAGAGUAAUUCACCUUAUUUUAAAUAAUUUUGACAUUUUUUUAUCAUUAGUAUUGUCUUGUUUAAAAGUCAAUGUUUUUUCCCUUUAAACAGUUAGAGCAGCUGCCUAAAGGCUAGAAUUAAAGAAAACAUUUCCCAGUGUUUAAAUAUAUAUGUAUUGCUAAAUUUAUACAAACAUAUGUGCUGUGUUGCCUAUUAGUAAAAACAAAAUGUAAACAAUUUUUUAUUUUAUAAUGUAAUUUUUUGAGAUGUUGAUUAAAGUAUUUGUUGUUGUUUUGUUUAGUGAAGGAUCCGAAACCACAAAUAAUCUGUUUUUGACCUAAUUUACCACAUGUCAAAGAAGAAGCAAGUAAAUACAAUACUUGAGAUUGUUUUUCUAUAUGCUAUCCGAAUAUAUAUUUUACCUGUAUGUGUUAUUUAAAUGAAUUUAAAAAAAAAUCUUUUUAAUCAAUAAAUACACUCAAAAACACUA